GCGAAACCUCGGCCGCCGCGGCUAUAUUCGCCGCGGCGUCACUGCCUUCCUGGCCUGGUGGUGAGAGGAAGUCGGGCCGCGAAAGCUUCCUGAGGAGAAAAUGGAGGGCCCUUCUCUCACACCGACGAGAAAAGUUCGAGGGGGAAAUACGAGUUCCUUUCUGAAGGGACAGGACGGCUGCUUUUCCACAGCCGCGACGUGAUUGAGAAAUGGUGGCUGGCAAGGGUAGGCCUGCCUUCGCCCCUCCAAAGUAAAAAUCGGGAGUUGAGACCAGAGGAACAUCUCUUUAUUACAUGACUAAGGAUAUGUUUUGAAAACUGGCCCCCGGGCAGCUGCUCGGGGACAGGAAGCUGACCUGACUUCUCCAGCUGGCCGGGGAGGCUGAUGCCGGGCCUAAGGGGCCGCGUCCGAGCCUCUCGGGGCGCGCCUCCAUGCAGGAAGGCGCGGAACUAGCGACCCGGAGACGCCGGGCGCGCGUCUGAGUGUGGGGGCAGGAAGGGGGGCCGACCGGGCCCGGAGGCCGCACCAGGCAGGAGGGAGGACUCCAGAGAGUGCGCGGGGGGCGCUGCGCGGUGGGACGGGGCGAGCCUGUAGGGCGCGCCUGGCGGCGGGUAGGCUCCGGGCUUGAGGGUGCGCCUGGGGGCGCUGGUUGUGGGGGAAGGCACCGGGCUUGAGGGUGCACCUGGGCGGGGGAAGUCUUCGGGCAUGAGGGCGCGCCUGCGGGUGGUAUGGGGGGGUACACCGAGCUUGAGGGUGCGCCCGGGGGGCUCUCAUGUGAAGGGUACCAGGCUUGAGGGCGCCCCUGCGGGGGGCGCAGAGGCACCGAGCUUGAGGGUGCGCCUCGGGGGUCUGCGGGGGGAAGGCACCGGACUUGAGCGUGCGCCGGGAGAGGACGGCGGGGGACCGGACUGUGAGGGCGUAUCUUGGGGGACCUGUCUAGGAGGAACCGGGAGGUGAAGGCACAACUGGGGGUGAGGCGGGGGCAGGGGCCGGGCUGUGAGAGUGCGACUGAGGGGGGAUUACUCCGGAGAGCACGGAGCUGGGGGCGUUGCGCAGGUGGAGUGGGGAGGCCUGGUGGAGAGGGUAGCAAACCGAGAGAGCGCACCGGGGUGGUGGGGGGAGAAGCUGGACUGUAAGGUGAAGAGUUAGUAGGGCGCAACCGUCUUCUCCUGCCCUCGAAGGGCAAGACUGAAGAAAGUAGGGGCGGAGGAGGCCGGGCCCUCCACUAAAGGGAGGGAAGCUAGUGAAGCGUCAGUUAUAAUAGAAAUAGGAAUUCAGUAAGGAAAUGGAGAAGCUUAAGGCAAAGGGUGACUCUCCGGCCUGACCCUCACUAUGAAGAUAUUUAUGUAUGUUCCCAUAAUACUUUUCAGAUCCCAAUGUCUGUGUUUAUCCUUGACAGAAAUAAUAGAACUGCUGUCUUCUUCCAAGUUAAACAAAACUUUGGAGCUAAAAGCUAGCUAGGUCAAGAGAAACAAAAUCUAAUCCUCACCCAAUUGAGAGACUGAAUAUACAAAGAAUGGCCAAACCUAACCAUGACCUCCUACCCAUAACCUCUUCAGUAAUCGGCCAGAAGGGUCAGGACUUAAUCUUUAACCGGCAGCUUCCCUAUUUCUUGCCCCUGCUUCCAGCUCUGGGCCAAUCAGAGAAAGCCAAAUGUGCUCCUCACACCAAUCGCGUAAGAAGCCCUGCUUCUAGUAUAGCCCUCCUCCAACUUCCCGAUGCCAACAUCCUCCAAUCAGAGCCAACCUGAAGUUUCUCCCUUUUUUCAGUAUAUGUAAAGCUUUUCCACUCCCCUGCCUGCCUAUGAGUCUGUUAAAUCAAGUGAUGGGUCGCGGCUGACUCUUGCCAGCUCUGAGUAAAUAGCCUAUUCUCAUUUGGUGGUCGUUAUUUCUACACAGCCGGUGGGAAGGUGGUGGAGAAUAGUGAAGACUAUUCUUAAGGUUAAAAAGAAGGUUCGGCUUACAUUUUUUUUUUAUUUUAAAUUUACAGCAUGGCGUCUCCAGCCCAGGUUUUAAAAUACCUUCUAAUGUAAGGAAAUAGCCCUGCACCUUGUGCCCAUCCUAGAGAGAAAAUGGUUUCUUAAUAAAAAAUGUAUGAGGCCUUUUUUGCCCCAAUAUCUUCCCAAGCAGAGGAAUGUGAAGGGGGGUUGGGCCAAGAAGUGAGUGGUAGGAAGAGAGGCCUACGGAUUUAAAACAGGCCACUGCUUGGAGGGGUGUCUUUCCUAAACCACUGAAGAAAUUGAACCAGGCAAAGGAAGGGGGUUCACACCCACAAAUAAACUAUAACCUACAAAAGGAGCCCGGGUUCACAUCCACAAAUAAAUUGUAACCUACACAAGGAGUCUGGUUGAGGUCACAAAACAAAAGCCAGGAGGCAACCAAAAGUAGAAUAUGAAAUAGGUGCUGCCUUCUCACCUAGGAAUCCUUCCAGGGCUAAAACCUUCAAAUAUUCUGCUUUUAAGGUAGUCAGAUACCCUCACAACUCAUUUACAUCAGCCCUUCUCUGUUUUCAAGUGAGAAGCAUAGAUGGUUUAGAAUUAAGCUAUGAACUCUUGGAUCUUUUCUUCCAAGUUUAGUGUUAGUGGUA
rnacentral:lncRNA from 1 species